rnacentral:rRNA from 1 species
ACGCUGGCGGCGUGCCUAAUACAUGCAAGUCGAGCGAGAUGUUAGCGCAUGAACCUUCGGGGGAUUAUGCUAACGGACAGCGGCGGACGGGUGAGUAACGCGUAGGCAACCUGCCCCUGACAGAGGGAUAGCCAUUGGAAACGAUGAUUAAAACCUCAUGACACCGUAGAAGCACAUGCUUCAUCGGUCAAAGAUUUAUCGGUCAGGGAUGGGCCUGCGUCUGAUUAACUAGUUGGUGAGGUAACGGCUCACCAAGGUGACGAUCAGUAGCCGACCUGAGAGGGUGAUCGGCCACAUUGGAACUGAGGCACGGUCCAAACUUCUACGGAAGGCAGCAGUAGGGAAUCUUGCACAAUGGGCGAAAGCCUGAUGCAGCAACGCCGCGUGAAGGAUGAAGGCCUUCGGGUUGUAAACUUCUGUUCUAAGGGAAGAAACAAAUGACGGUACCUUAGGAGCAAGCCCCGGCUAACUACGUGCCAGCAGCCGCGGUAAUACGUAGGGGGCAAGCGUUAUCCGGAAUUAUUGGGCGUAAAGAGUGCGUAGGUGGUUACCUAAGCGCAAGGUUUAAUUUAGAGGCUCAACCUCUACUUGCCUUGCGAACUGGGCCACUUGAGUGCAGGAGGGGAAAGCGGAAUUCCUAGUGUAGCGGUGAAAUGCGUAGAUAUUAGGAGGAACACCAGCGGCGAAGGCGGCUUUCUGGACUGUAACUGACACUGAGGCACGAAAGCGUGGGUAGCAAACAGGAUUAGAUACCCUGGUAGUCCACGCCGUAAACGAUGAGCACUAGGUGUUGGGCCCGUUAGGCUCAGUGCCGCAGUUAACGCAAUAAGUGCUCCGCCUGGGGAGUACGCUCGCAAGAGUAAAACUCAAAGGAAUUGACGGGGACCCGCACAAGCAGCGGAGCAUGUGGUUUAAUUC